UAACAGCUCAGUCACUAGAGCAUGAGACUGUUAAUCUCAGGCUCAUGUGUUCAAGCCCCAUCUUUGGCAAAA
rnacentral:tRNA from 1 species